AGGUGAGUCCCGCCCCAAGGAGACUCUUAAGGCGGCAGAAAAGGAAAACGGAUUCCGGCGAUACUCAAGGUGCACAUCAGUAGUACAGCAGCAGGAGUGGAAUUUAUCUGGCCACUAAUUACAGGUAGGACAAUUAUUACCAUUACCUGUACAAAAGCUGUCUUCCCCCUUCCCUUCCCUUCCCUUCCUUUCCCUUCCCUUCCUCUUC